rnacentral:rRNA from 1 species
AACGAACGCUGGCGGCAGGCCUAACACAUGCAAGUCGAGCGCCCCGCAAGGGGAGCGGCGGACGGGUGAGUACCGCGUGGGAAUAUGCCCUUUGCUACGGAAUAGUCUCGGGAAACUGGGGGUAAUACCGUAUACGCCCUUUGGGGGAAAGAUUUAUCGGCGAAGGAUUAGCCCGCGUUGGAUUAGGUAGUUUGUGGGGUAAUGGCCUACCAAGCCGACGAUCCAUAGCUGGUUUGAGAGGAUGAUCAGCCACACUGGGACUGAGACACGGCCCAGACUCCUACGGGAGGCAGCAGUGGGGAAUCUUAGACAAUGGGGGCAACCCUGAUCUAGCCAUGCCGCGUGAGUGAUGAAGGCCUUAGGGUUGUAAAGCUCUUUCAGCUGGGAAGAUAAUGACGGUACCAGCAGAGGAAGCCCCGGCUAACUCCGUG